ensembl:lncRNA
CUACAACUCGGUGAUACGAUCUAAAAUGUUAGAAUCAACAUAUCUUCGACAGCGCUUACGGAGAGCAGGACUCACAAAAAUCAAGAAUCUGAGGGCUGGCAACAGAUGGAAGACGGCUAGAGAACUGUGCACUGAGACGGGGGUACUGUCGUGCCGCCUCAUGCAGAGACUGUCGGGAGAGGUGGUCUCUGCACUGCCCUCUCUUUUCAGGGAAGCAUUGGGACAGGACCGAGAGGAAAAUCAGCAGGCCAUUUCAUCUCUACGAAUCUCCGCGGCAGUAGAGGGGAAUCAGCGAGAGGAAGGAGCUCUUUUAUCCUUUAAAACACCGUCACUGACAACUUUUGAGGACGCCUCGAAGAAAGUACUGUAUGAAACAUGUAUCAAAGUUGGGCACAGAGGUGCUCUGACAGGACUGAAAGAGUCGCACUGGUCAGGGCUGUUGGAACCAGACUCUUCCCCACGAGGAUGCUGGAGGUCCCUGUACAAACCGCCCAUAGAGAAGCGCACAGCUGAUCUUCAGUGGCGGAUAGUGCAUGGGGCCGUGGCCACAAACAGACACGUGGCACACAUCGACCCCACUAGGGGUAGGGAGUGUCUCUUCUGUGGCGAGGAAGAAACAGUAGAACACUUGUUCUUGCACUGUCAAAGAUUACAAAGGUUGUUCUCUCUACUUAGAGCCUGGUGCAGAGGGCUGGGCGUUACAUGGGCAGAAAGCCUUUACAUAUAUGGGCCAAAGUACGUUCCAAAAAAUAAAGCUGUGGUUCUACUGAACUUUAUAAUAGGCCAAGCCAAGCUUGCUAUCUGGCUUUCAAGAAAAAACAAAAUGCAGGGAAGAGGCACUCAGGAGGCGGAAAAACUGCUAACUGCACUAGUCAAAGCGAGACUCAAAGUUGAAUACGGUUUUUUUAAAACCGUAUUCUUGGAAGUUUGGGCGGUUGGGGAGGUCUUAUGCUCUGUAGGUUCAGGGUUUUUAAGUCUUAAUCUUUCUUUAAAAAAAAGAGCGGGAUGUGAAAUAGUUACUUUUUUUUUACUUUGGGUUUUCGUGUCAACUUAUAUAUAUUCUUUACUAUUUUUAUUACUUAUAAUAUAUAUUUUUGUUUUCUCUCUACAUUUUUAAAUUUUAUUUAUUAAUUUAUUUAUUUUAUUUUUAUGUAUCAAUGAAUUUUUCCUUGUCAUUAUCUACCAUGUGACUGAUUUCCAAAUGACUGAAUAAAAAGGACAAUUUAAAAG